rnacentral:rRNA from 1 species
UAAUACGAAGGGGGCGAGCGUUGUUCGGAUUUACUGGGCGUAAAGGGCGCGUAGGCGGCCAGCUUUGUCAGGCGUGAAAGCCCUGGGCUCAACCUGGGAAUUGCGCUUGGGACGGGUUGGCUUGAGAUCGGGAGAGGAGAGUGGAAUUCCCAGUGUAGAGGUGAAAUUCGUAGAUAUUGGGAAGAACACCGGUGGCGAAGGCGGCUCUCUGGACCGAUACUGACGCUGAGGCGCGAAAGCGUGGGGAGCAAACAGGAUUAGAUACCCUGGUAGUCCACGCUGUAAACGAUGUGUGCUAGACGUUGGGGAGCCUAGCUCUUCGGUGUCGCAGCUAACGCGGUAAGCACACCGCCUGGGGAGUACGGCCGCAAGGUUA